rnacentral:pre_miRNA from 1 species
AUAGUCUCUCUAGUUGUGCCGUUCUCUGUGCUUCUGUGGAGAUCAUAGAAGCACGGAGAACGGCACAACUAGAGAGGCUAU